UGGACAAACGGGGAAUUGAACCCCGGACCUCUCCCAAGCUCACUCAACUUGAAGGUUGAAAUAUGCUAAGGGAAAAUCAUACCACUAGACCAUUCGCCC